GGAAACUAUGAGAGCGAAACAGGGAAGAAAAGGAAUGUAUACAAUAAAAUACACCAAUAUAAAAACUCUCAAUUAUUAACAAAAAUAAAAAAAGGGUUUUAGAAAUUAAAAAAGAAUUAGAAAAAAAAAGAAAAAAGAGGACAUGUUGUAACAAGCCACUUAGCCGAGCCGAUCGGGGUGAGCGGCAACUGAUCCUGCUCCACCGGCGGAGAGGAGGCCGGUCAGAAAAGUCAUGGCUUUGAUUUGCAUCUGUAGAGCUGAUAUGUAGUCGUUAGUUUCUUCUAGAAGGUUCGUAAACGGGAGUUUCUGACAACCGGGAACUAAACGGCCGAGAACACGAACUUUCCGUUGCAAAGCAGGCAAUCGCUUCUUCGCCGCUGGUUUCUUUGAUUUUAUAUUGCCGCUAUUCAGUUUUGCUUUCUUAUGCUUUUUAUUGAUUUGGCUAAGCCUGAGGCUGAGACGGCCAGUGAGAAUCGCUCUGCUCCAACGACUUCUUCCCUUCGCUGUAACGGCGAGGACUCUGUCGGCGGUCUCCCUGACGGCGCGUCCGGCAUUAACCGGAGAUGGAUUGUCAUUACUCCGGCGAACGUGACGGAGAGCCUGGAGAAGCUUUGAAGAGUAGAUCUGUUGCUCGGUAUCCGUUCUCCACCUGGAUUGAUCAAGGCUCGUUUGUUGCUCAAUUUCCCCAUCAUCUCCAAUUUUUCUUCUCUUUUUGCGCUUGGAUUCUCGCGAGUGACUGGAGUUAACAUCGGGAUUCGAGACGGUUUGAGAUGACGCCAUCAGAAGGAACAAUUUUCUGAUGCAAAAUUCGGAAUGAUUCUCGCGAAUUGUACGUUUGCUUCUCUUCUGUAAAUAGAUGCAAACUGAGUUUUGAGUUUGACGGCGGAGACGGCGGCGGUAGGUGGCGG
rnacentral:misc_RNA from 1 species